AGGGGCGGGGGCCUAACACAUGCAAGUCGAGCGAGAUCUUCGGAUCUAGCGGCGGACGGGUGAGUAACGCGUGGGAACGUACCCUCUUCUGCGGGAUAGCCACUGGAAACGGUGAGUAAUACCGCAUACGCCCUUCGGGGGAAAGAUUUAUCGGAGGAGGAUCGGCCCGCGUUGGAUUAGGUAGUUGGUGGGGUAAUGGCCUACCAAGCCUACGAUCCAUAGCUGGUUUUAGAGGAUGAUCAGCCACACUGGGACUGAGACACGGCCCAGACUCCUACGGGAGGCAGCAGUGGGGAAUCUUAGACAAUGGGCGCAAGCCUGAUCUAGCCAUGCCGCGUGAGUGACGAAGGCCUUAGGGUCGUAAAGCUCUUUCGCCUGUGAUGAUAAUGACAGUAGCAGGUAAAGAAACCCCGGCUAACUCCGUGCCAGCAGCCGCGGUAAUACGGAGGGGGUUAGCGUUGUUCGGAAUUACUGGGCGUAAAGCGCACGUAGGCGGAUUGGAAAGUAUGGGGUGAAAUCCCAGGGCUCAACCCUGGAACGGCCUCAUAAACUUCCAGUCUGGAGUUCGAGAGAGGUGAGUGGAAUUCCGAGUGUAGAGGUGAAAUUCGUAGAUAUUCGGAGGAACACCAGUGGCGAAGGCGGCUCACUGGCUCGAUACUGACGCUGAGGUGCGAAAGUGUGGGGAGCAAACAGGAUUAGAUACCCUGGUA
rnacentral:rRNA from 1 species